AAAAUAUCAAAAAAUAAUAUAUAAAUAUAUAUAUAAAGAGAGAGAGAGAGAGAGAGAGUAGAGCUACUAUACUAUCGGAAGUACAGAGAAUCUGAUGUUUCUGACUAUUUGAUCCUUAAGAUCAACCCUUUUGAUUAUUUCUAAUCUUUGGAUUAAUACUACUAUCAUGUGGGGAUCACUCAACCCUAAGUGUACUACUCAACCUAGGAGGACCACAAUCAUUCCAACUGUACAAUUUUUGAUCCAAUGGUCAAAAAGUCAGAAGCAUACAUAUAUGUAUGCUUUCAAUAGUAUAAUAGUUCUACACACACAUACAUAUAUGUAUGCUAGUAUUACUAUACUCUUAUAAGUAUAAAUUCUUUUGUACUUAUAAGUUUUUGGUCGUUGAUGAAGGGAUGUGCGGUUAGGAUGAUAGUGGUUCCCAGUUAGAAUAACAGUGGUCCCUUGGCAUUGAGCAAGUGGUUGGUUGAAUAGAUGAUCUAAUGGGUGGAAAUAGUCAACGGGGUGAUCUAACGGCUGAAAAUUUAUGAGUACAAAGGGUCUAUAUUCAUAAAAAUAUAAUAUCCGGACUAUAUAUAUAUACUAUAUAUGAGUAGGGCUACUAUACUCUUAUAAGUAUUGGGCCAUUUGUGCUCAUAAGUUAAUUUCAAUGAUGGAGCUUCUGAAUCAACGAUCCACUCCAUUAAAUAUAAUCUAGAGUAUUUGAAACUUCUAAAAAAUAAAUUUCGUAAUUUUUCGAAAUCAUAAUAAAGUCCAUCAAACGGGUAUAAAAUGAACAGUCAAAAUCGAAUGACGUCCUAAAAAUAGAUGAUCGGAUCCUUCAAUUUAAGAUCGGAGUAGGUAGUGAAUAAAAUUUUCUAUCAAAAAUUCAAUCUAUUCCAAUUCUUUUACACCGUUAAACUAGCAAAUAUUCCAUACCGGCCGUUAAAAAUUGUCAAUUUUUUGAGCUUUUGAUCGUAAGGUAAAUAAUAUAGAAAAAUUACGAAAUUUGAUUUCUAAAAGUUCUAAAUGUUCUAGAUAAUAUUUAACGGUAUGGAUCGUCGAUUCGAAAGCUCUAUCAUCGAAAACGACUUAUGAGUAUGAGGACCUCUAUACUCACAAGAGUAUAGUAGCCCUACUAUAUAUAUAUAAAGAGAGAGUGAGAGAGAGAAUACUGCUACUAUGCUUCUGGAAGCACAGAGUCUUCUGUGCUUCCAGGUCGUUUUCCAUGUUGCGACUUUCGAAUCGUCAAUCGACUCCAUUAAACUUGAUCAAGAGUAUUUGAAGUACCUAGAAAAUAAAUUAUGUGAUUUUUCGAUAUUAUUUGCCUAGUGAACGAAGAGGCUCAAAAUCAACAAUUUUAAUGGUAGUAGUGAGCCGUUUGCAAGUUUAACGGUGUAGAAAUAUCCAAAUCACGUGAAAUUUUGAUAGAAAAUUCUUUAUACUAUAUAAAACAAGAAUUUUCUAUCAAAAAUUUAACCUAUUCCGAUCGUUCGAUUAGUAGUUUAACGGUGCAAAAGAAUCCGAAUAGCUUGAAAUUUUGAUAGAAAAUUCUAUUCACUACCUAGAUAAAGAUUAAUAACUCCGAUUUUAAAUUGAAAGAUCCGAUCAUCCAUUUUUGAGACAUCGUUCAAUUUUGACCGUUCAUUUUAUGCCCGUUUGAUGGACUUUAUUAUGAUUUCGAAAAAUUACGAAAUUUAUUUUCUAGAAAUUUUAAAUAUUCUAGAUCAUAUUUAACGGAGUGGAUCGUCGAUUCGGAAGCUCCAUCAUCGAAAACAACUUAUGAGUACGAAGGGCCCAAUAUUCAUAAUAGUAUAGUAGCCCUUACAUAU
rnacentral:lncRNA from 1 species